CAUCCGCUGCCGCGGCUGUCGAUGUCGUCAGCGCAGGGAGUGGGAAAUGAUCAGGGGAUUGGUUUGGGAUCUGCGUCCGGAUCGGUUUCCAGUGGGACUUCGUCAGUGUCGUCCUCUGAUGAGCAGCCAAUUAUUACUGAAUAAAGUGCUAGGCCUAAUCUUUAUGACGCGAAUUCCAAGACCCGAGGACUUGUCGCCGACCACCAGAGCCAGCAGUACUACGACACCUUCCAAGGCGUCGCCAACUACCCCCCUUCGCAGCCACCGUCCGAGCCGGUAGUCGAUUUCCCUACGCCAGUCCCUCCUCUAGGCUCCUCCGACCGACCUCCUCUACCUCCCCAGCGCCACCAUCACCACCACCACCACCACCACCAGGGAUACCAAACUGUCACCGGUUAUGUUGUUGUUAAGGGAAGGCCUGUGAGGGAACGAAGGCUUCCGUGCUGUGGUCUUGGAAGCGGCUGGUUAUUGUUUAUAAUGGGGUUCUUUCUUGGUGGCAUCCCCUGGUAUAUUGGAACUUUUAUUUUACUUUGUGUGAGGGUGGACUACAGAGAAAAACCUGGAUAUGUUGCAUGCACAUUAGCAUCAAUUAUUGCAGUGCUAGCUAUCACUCUUGGCGUUACAAAGCGAACUCACAACUGGUGAGGAUAAUAUGGACAACAAGCUUGAUUCUCUGUUUGUACCUAGAAUAGAAGCAGUUGGAUGGCUAUUGUUAAAUUAUACAUAUUGGUUUUUCUGUUGUUGCAAAUUCUUGACAGAGUAUUGGGUGUUUUGUAUCUAUAAAUAUGGUUUUCUGUUUCUCCAAACUUGAAAGCAACAUUCACAGUAUACUAACUUGGAUAGGAAAAUUAAUACGAAAGGAAGGGAAGGAAGCAAUGUAUAUA